GACGAACGCUGGCGGCGUGCUUAACACAUGCGAGUCGAACGAUGAACCUCGAAAUGAUUUCUUCGGAAAGAUUUUUGAGAGGAUUAGUGGCGAACGGGUGAGUAACGCGUGAGCAACCUGCCUUAGACAAGGGGAUAGCCUCGGGAAACCGUGAUUAAUACCCUAUGAGACUCCACUUACGAGUGUAAGAGAAGUUAAAGCUAUUGCGGUCUAAGAUGGGCUCGCGUCUGAUUAGCUAGUUGGUGAGAUAAAAGCCCACCAAGGCGACGAUCAGUAACCGGCUUGAGAGAGUGAACGGUCACAUUGGAACUGAGACACGGUCCAAACUCCUACGGGAGGCAGCAGUGGGGAAUAUUGCACAAUGGGGGCAACCCUGAUGCAGCGACGCCGCGUGAGCGAUGAAGGAAUUCGUUUCGUAAAGCUCUGUCCUUGGAGAAGAUAAUGACGGUAACCAAGGAGGAAGCACCGGCUAAAUACGUG
rnacentral:rRNA from 1 species